AACGUAGGAGACAAACGUUAUCCGGAGUUACUGGGCGUAAAGGGCGUGUAGGUGGUUUCGUAAGUCUGGCGUGAAAUAUCUCGGCUUAACCGAGGCAGGUCGUCGGAUACUGCGGGACUAGAGGACGGUAGAGGCGUGUGGAAUUCCGGGUGUAGUGGUGAAAUGCGUAGAGAUCCGGAGGAACACCAGUGGCGAAGGCGACUCACUGGUCCAUUACUGACGCUGAGGUGCGAAAGCGUGGGGAGCAAACAGG
rnacentral:rRNA from 1 species